rnacentral:rRNA from 1 species
CCGGCCGCGGGAAUUAGACUCACGCCUAACACAUGCAAGUCGAACGGGAUCCAUCAAGCUUACUUGGUGGUGAGAGUGGCGAACGGUUGAGUAAUACUUGACCGACCUUCCCCAUCCAAAAGAAUAGCUUCUGGAUACGGGUGGUAAUGCCGGAUGCUCCGUCUCCUCGCAUGGGGUGUCGGGAAAGAUUUCAUCGGUAUGGGAUGGGGUCGAGUCCUAUCAGGUAGUUGGCGGGGUACCGGCCCACCGAUCGUAGGAUCGGGUAGCCGCCCUGAGAGGGCGGCCGGCCUCAUUGGGUCUGAGAUACGGCCCAGACUCCUACGGGAGGCAGCAGUGGGGAAUAUUGCCCAAUGGG